GUUAUAUUAGGAAAAUAAACAUAAGAGAAUAAACAACUUGAUGACAUCUUUUGUAUUCUUUUGUGGUUUUCCUGUGAAGCCUCCCAUCUUUUGUAUCUUUUAUUCCCCACUUGGUAUGCUUGUACCAUGGUUUGGGGGUUGCUAAUAAAGUUUAAAUGUUCAAAAAAAAAAACUUGAUGACAAUAAAAGAUUUCAAAAUCAGUUAAAUUUGCCUAAUAUUUUCCUAAUAUUACGCAAUUUUUGUAAGCCUCCCAUGUUUUUUUGAGGUGGAUUAAGAAAUUAUCCUAAAAAUAGUGUAAACAAAGUAUAACUAUAGAGGAAUGCCUGGGUGCCAUAAAGUUUUAACACUUAAGAUUUAUUAGUACAACUUAGAAUCACACAAUGAAUUAACAAAAUUAAGGGAAAACAAAAACAAUCGAAAACAACUAAUGCAGUAAUAAAUUUUCCCAUCCAUUGAAAUCAAACCCUAAUUUGUAGGAGAAAAUUAAAAAUUCAAAUAUACUUACCACAAUUCUUGUAUUAUAGCCUGGAUGGUGUGGAAUCAGUGGAUGUCACAUUAAUGAACACAAUGUCUUGACAGUAGCUUGUCCUAAAUCCUAGUACACAAAUUAUCAACUGCAAAGCAUCACAUAUAUAUCAGGUACACUUAAAAUAAUAAAUAGACAGACUCAAUUCAUUGAUUCAGAAAACAAAUUAGGAAAAUCUGAUUGAAC
rnacentral:lncRNA from 1 species